rnacentral:lncRNA from 1 species
GGGAGAUGGAGGUUGCAGUGAGCCAAAAUCACGCCACUGCACACCACCAUCCUGGGCAACAGAGUGAGACUCUGUCUCCAAAAAGAAAAAAAAAGAAAAACUUAACAAUAACGAUUUUUAGAUAGAGGAAAUGUAAAAUUUGGCCCCUGUGGGUAUAAAUUGUCACUGAAAUAUGAAUAAAGGGGAUCCAAAUUAGUGAGUUUCCAUUAUCCAAGCUAGUUUGGAGAUUCAUUUUUUUUGAAAGUUAGAUUUAUUGAGGUAUAAUUACAUACCAUAUAAUUCGCCCCUUUAAAGUGUUCAAUUUGUUCAAGGAGUUUUAACAAAUAUGGAUAGUCAUGUAAUUACAACACAAUCAAGAGGGGCCUUCAUGUUCUUUUGCAAUUUCCUUCCCAUUUUGCAACAUUGGUCUGUUUUCUGUCCCUACAGUUUUGACUUUUCCACUAUGUCAUAUAAGUGGAAUUAUAUGGGACACAGUCAUUUGUAAUUAACUUCUUUCACUGAGCAAAAUACUUUUGAGAUUCAUCCAUGUUGCUGCAUCUGUGAGUUGGAUAUCACUUGUAUCGCUUUUUGUUAUCAAGUAGUAUUCCAUUAUAUGGAUAUACCACAAUUUGUUAAAUAAUUUGCUGGUUGAUGAACAUUUGAGUGGUUUCUACUUUUUGAUUAUUAUGAACAGAGCUGUUAUGAAUAUUAAAAUACAAGUCUUUUGUGGACAUAUGUUUUCCUUUGUCUUGGAUAAAUAUCUAAGAAUUGUGUUGCUGGUUGACUAAGGAAAUGCUGAACUUUUUCACAAACUGCCAACUGUAUACCAUUUUUGCACCUGUCAUUGGCAAAACAUGAACGUUCCAAUAGUUCCACACCCUUGCACUUAGUACUUUUAGUCUUUUUUAGUGUUAGCCAUUCUAGUGAGUGUGGAGUGGUAUUUCACUGUGGUUUGGCUUAUAUUUCCCUAAGGGCUAAUGAUGUUGGGCAUACUUAUCAAAUAUGUGCAAACAUAUAUACACCUAUGUCAGAUAUAUGCUUUGCACAUGUCUUAUCACAGUCUGUAAAAUUUUUCUCAACAGUGUCUUUGAAGAGCAGAAGUUUUAAGUUUUGGCGAAGUCUAAUUUGUUAAUUUUUACUUCUAUGAUUCAUGAUUUUUGUCUGCUAUCUAAACAUCUCUACUUAAUCCAGGGUCACAAAGGCUUUGUCUUCUGUGUUUUCUUCCAGAAAUUUUAGAUUUUAGUCUUUACAUUUAGUACUAUGAUCCAUUUCAGGUUAAUUUUUGUGUGUGGUUUGAGGUAAGGGUCAAGGUUCACUUUAUAUAUAUGAAUGUCCAAUUAUACCAGCAGAAUUUUUUAAAAAGGCAAUCCUUUCCCUCGCUGAAUUACUUUGACACUUUUGUCUAAAAUCAGUUGACCAUAUAUGUGUGGGCCUAUUUCUGGAUGCUUAUUCUGUUCCAUUAAUUUGUCUAUACCGAUUGUAACAUCAUAUUAUCUUGAUUGUUGUAGCCUUGUAGUAAGUCUUCAAAUCAGGUAGUGCCAGUCUUCCAAAUUUGUUCUUCUUUUUCAAAAUUGUUCUUGCCAUUCUAGUUCCUUUUCAUUUCUCCAUAAAUUCUAGAAUCAGUUUGCCAAUUCCUACACAAAACCAAUCAGGAUUUUUAUUGGGAUUACUUGUUAUCUAUGAGGAAAUUCAGUUUUUGUAAAUUAGAUGAAUGCCAUUCCAAAUUGUAGAUAAUCUUUGAAAACAAGCUUUUGGUAUUUCAGUAAACUGGUUAUUUUUAAUUAGGUUGAAUAUUUACAAACCUAUGAUUGACACCUUCCCUUUUAAUCCUAGGAUGCAAUGAAAUAAAUAAAACCUCUGUCAUUCUCUGGUGCUGACAACAUCCUGGAAUGUAUCUACAGCUCCAGGGACGCCAUUUUGUCCUGAGAGGAAGCCAGCUUCCUCCCUCAGGAAGGAAACCCAGGCCAAGAGGACGGAAUGGUUACUCAUGUCAUGCGUGCUCAGUGGCUGCCCAUCUCAGCAUCAGCGGUAUGAACAGAGCACUCUGGAGGGGCAGGGAGAGGUGGCUUUGUGGGUAGUGGGAUGCCACCUUCACUGUCCUUCAGUCCAAUAGGACAUGUAGCAAAUGUAAAUAAAUC